rnacentral:rRNA from 1 species
CCUACGGGAGGCUGCAGUGGGGAAUAUUGCACAAUGGGGGAAACCCUGAUGCAGCGACGCCGCGUGAAUGAAGAAGUAUUUCGGUAUGUAAACUUCUAUCAGCAGGGAAGAAAAUGACGGUACCUGACUAAGAAGCCCCGGCUAACUACGUGCCAGCAGCCGCGGUAAUACGUAGGGGGCAAGCGUUAGCCGGAUUUAAUGGGUGUAAAGGGAGCGGAGGCGGUUGAGCAAGUCAGAAGUGAAAGCCCGGGGCUCAACUCCGGGACUGCUUUUGAAACUGGUGAACUAGAGUGCAGGAGAGGGAAGUGGAAUUCCUAGUGUAGCGGUGAAAGGCGUAGAGAUUAGGAGGAACACCAGUGGCGAAGGCGGCUUACUGGACUGUAAAUGACGCUGAGGCUCGAAAGCGUGGGGAGCAAACAGGAUUAGAUACCCUUGUAGUC